rnacentral:rRNA from 1 species
UACGUAGGAGGCAAGCGUUGUCCGGAAUCAUUGGGCGUAAAGAGCUCGUAGGCGGUCUGUUGCGUCGGCUGUGAAAACCCGGGGCUCAACUCCGGGCCUGCAGCCGAUACGGGCAGACUAGAGUUCGGCAGGGGAGACUGGAAUUCCUGGUGUAGCGGUGAAAUGCGCAGAUAUCAGGAGGAACACCGGUGGCGAAGGCGGGUCUCUGGGCCGAUACUGACGCUGAGGAGCGAAAGCGUGGGGAGCGAACAGG